GGAGGUCCGAACCCACGAGCGUUGAAAAGCUCGGGGAUGACUUGUGGGUAGCGGUGAAAUUCCAAUCGAGCCCGGAGAUAGCUGGUUCUCCCCGAAAUAGCUUUAGGGCUAGCCUCAAGGUGAGAGAUACGGAGGUAGAGCACUGAAUGUCCUAGGGGGUAUUGCACCUACCGAAGACUAUCAAACUCCGAAUGCCGUCAUCUUAUACUUGGGAGUCAGACUGUGGGUGAUAAGAUUCAUAGUCGAAAGGGCAACAGCCCAGAUCGUCAGCUAAGGUCCCUAAAUGUAAGUUAAGUGGUAAAGGAUGUGGGAUUGCACAGACAACCAGGAUGUUGGCUUAGAAGCAGCCACUCAUUCAAAGAGUGCGUAAUAGCUCACUGGUCGAGUGAUCCUGCGCCGAAGAUUUCCGGGGCUAAAACUUACUACCGAAGCUACGGCAUCAGUAAUGAUGGGUAGGGGAGCUUCCCAUACGGGUUGAAGCAUGACCGUAAGGACAUGUGGACAGUAUGGGAGUGAGAAUGUUGGCAUGAGUAGCGAGAUGUGGGUGAGAAUCCCACAGGCCGUAAACCCAAGGUUUCCAGGGGAAGGUUCGUCCGCCCUGGGUUAGUCGGGACCUAAGCUGAGGCCGAAAGGCGUAGGUGAUGGACAACAGGUUGAUAUUCCUGUACUACCGAUAACCGUUUGAGAGA
rnacentral:rRNA from 1 species